GAGAGGUUUUCUUCCAUCUGCCAUUGUUGAAAUCUAAAGGAAAAGUGGUGGUUUGGCUUAGUGAUUCAAGGGAUCUUCAAGGAUUCGAAGAACCAGGUGCAUGCAUGCGGGUUAAUCUUAGAAGUAUGGUGGUUUAAAGCAAGACAAAUGAUGGCUAUGGUUAUCGAGGAUGUGAGGAGUUAUUGAGUUGCAUGUGGAAUUCAAGGUAAAAUCGGAAAAUAAGUGAUCAGCUCGCGUGUAUUGCCUCAAUACAUUUUGACUUGUUGUGACGUAGGUAGCGGCAUCUCUUAGACUUCCACUCCGAGUCGCUCCGCUACAUAAAGGUCAUGUUUGUGUAGGAUGGUCGGUUGUACUAAAAUUAGUUUAUCGAAAUUGUAUCACCGAACAACCUUGAUGUCGUCUAAUGGAUUCUAAGUGUGAUGUUUGAAUGUAUUUUGAAAUUUGCUAGAUUUGGAUAUUGAUAUCUAAUUGCCGAUUUUAAUUAA